GAUGAACGCUGGCGGCGUGCCUAAUACAUGCAAGUCGAGCGAACAGACGAGGAGCUUGCUCCUCUGACGUUAGCAGCGGACGGGUGAGUAACACGUGGAUAACCUACCUAUAAGACUGGGAUAACUUCGGGAAACCGGAGCUAAUACCGGAUAAUAUAUUGAACCGCAUGGUUCAAUAGUGAAAGACGGUUUUGCUGUCACUUAUAGAUGGAUCCGCGCCGCAUUAGCUAGUUGGUAAGGUAACGGCUUACCAAGGCAACGAUGCGUAGCCGACCUGAGAGGGUGAUCGGCCACACUGGAACUGAGACACGGACCAGACUCCUACGGGAGGCAGCAGUAGGGAAUCUUCCGCAAAGGGCGAAAGCCUGACGGAGCAACGCCGCGUGAGUGAUGAAGGUCUUCGGAUCGUAAAACUCUGUUAUUAGGGAAGAACAAAUGUGUAAGUAACUAUGCACGUCUUGACGGUACCUAAUCAGAAAGCCACGGCUAACUACGUG
rnacentral:rRNA from 1 species